UCACCGACAUCCACCUGCAGCUAUGUAAAUGUUAGCUCUAGCAGCAGUGUGCUGGUUAGAGUAAACUACAAACUGCCUGCUACACAGGCAAAACUGGCUCUGCAGAAUAUGUUAACCAGAAAUACUUCAGGAAUCAUGGAUCGGAUCCCCUGGUUCAGGGAAAAUGGAUCAGUGGCUGCCUCCUAAGUGACCCGUGACAAGACAGCCUGAUAAGUGUCAUCUCUUCACCUAAAUUUUGACCUUUCAUCUGAAGAUACAGUUUUAUGGUUAAGUAAAGUGAGGACCACCAGCCUUGGAAUCUCCUGCAGGUUUUUGUCUCGGUCCUGUUGCCUUCCUCCCUCUGUGCCUUGUAUUGCCAGACAACUCAGAGCUACUCUGUCCCUGAACUUAUAAUUCUGCCACAGCCUAGUCCUGAUCUCUUGAAGAACAGAACAUGACAUUUGCUCUCUGUUUUUGAUGUUGAUCACUGCUACAGCCAAUGUAGGUCUUUAUUUGGGUGUGAGCUUAUAGCACUGUGGCUACCUGGCACUAAUUGUCCUGGUGCAAACAAAUGUCACAGAUAUGAAGUAGUUGAUUCUGCUGUCACUUAGGAGACAUGUUGUGCAUAGCUGUGGUUGAGGAAGAACUUGUGCACAUGCUGGUGUUUUGGAGUAGCAAACAGGCAAAGGAAUUGCAGCUGGUGAUUUGAUUGACAUGGCUAAACAGGUAGGCGUUUCUGUUUUCAAUAAUAAAAUCCUGUGCAAUGUAAAUUAAAGACAGAGUAAACAGAUUUUCUGUGGUUUUGGGCAGAAAUGACAUUACGUCUUUUGCUGCUUCAGAGAUAACAUUUCUGUGGAUCUCCAGAGAGAGCAUUUAUAUCUGAAUUAUGAGACUUCUACUAUUUAACAGUGACUUCUGGGCUUGAAUUUUAUAGACUCUGGAACUAAACAGGUUUAAAAAAUCCAAUAUUUGUAACAAGAUUAAUAACAACUAUGAUUCCUUCCAUGAUAAAAUUAAACAAAACAAUAAAACCACCCAAACCAAACAACCUUAUCAUUAUUUUAAAGAAUAAAUGCAAAACCAGAACAAAUCCUUUGAUGAAAAUGCAACCAUGUUGUGUUAAUCAGUAUUUUCUGCUUGCUGCCUUUGCAGACUUGGUACCUGCAAUUAUCUCAAGCUUUGCUUGCACACACACUGUUAUUCUUUCUCAUUAACGUCACUAAUGUCUACUUGAAUUCCUUGCAAGCAGAAAGACAAAGUGUCAGUGAGCAGCGAGUGCAAGGAGUACUUGUCACCAUGGCUAAGUUUUAACGUAAAUCAGCGGAGUUAAUAUGUAAGCUUAUCUGAUGGCUUCAAAUGUGAAUGAAGUCCUAGCUGGAAAUACUGCUGCAGAUCAGCUUGUCCAAUUCUUGCAUAUUGCUAAAACACAAAGGAAGCAAAGAAUUUUCCCACUUGAUGAUGCUAUUUUUAUUUUUUUUCAAUGAAAGGUCAGAUACAACCCACAUUGCUUUCUCUCUCUUUAGCCUUCAGAGGCUGAGGAGCUCUGGCAGUCACAGCAGAACAGGUAUUUCUUUAGGAAAAGCAAAGAGGAAUCUUUUCCUGGAUUUUAAUGGGCUGACAAAAGACAACAGAGCAACCUGGACUGUUUGCAUGCAUACUGGCAAAUGGUGUGAGAGAGUUUAUUCUUCUGUGCAGUCCACUGGGCUUUGAGAGUGGGAUAUUGGUUCUGAGAACUGACUUAAGGGAGUUGUAACAAUGUGAUGUGUUUCCCACUAACUUCAAGUAUGACUAUAGAGACCUAAAGGUAAAUAUUUGUAUGUAUAUUUAUGUAAUUUAUAAAGGUGUCAGAACCUCAAUUUCACUUUUUCCUCAAGAAAAAGCCUUUUUACAGCAGAAAUCACAGGUCCUUUAAUGGAGGUUUCUGCUCUGGGUGCCAUAAUUCAUAGCUAGGAACCUCCAUUAUUAAUGAACCUGGUCAAGCAUCCAGUGCUGGAAGGCAUGGGAGUGAGGAAACAAUGCUGGCUACAGGCAAUGCUGAAGUAGGGCAGCGAAUGCUGAAGGGGCAGCUGCAGUGCCUGCUAAGCAUUUUACUAUUAAUGUGGGCCACAGGAAAGAGCUGGAUACACAGGUCUUUUCCAUCUUCCCAGCUGGAAUGUCAGAAACCAGUUUAACAGGAUGGUAAACCAGCAGAGUCAAAGGCUUACCAGGACAAAAUCUGGCCCUUCAUAAUAAGGCAGAUUAAACCAGUGCCACAUGAUUUUGUUUCUUAGAGGAAGGCACUGCCACAAGCUAUAUUCAGGUGAGCUUUUUAUUGCCUGUAACUCUGCCUUGGGUUAUGUCACCCAAACUGACAGGGAGCUUGAGCUGUUUUAUUUUCAAACCACAUCUCUGAGUACUAAUUACAUAUUUUGCAAGCCAUAUUUCAAACUCACAUGACUUAUGCUCUGUAUGCAAAUCUCAGAACUUAGUCUACCUAUGCCUCUGCCAUACUUCUCCUACUUUGAUCUGUCCAGGUUGCAACUCUCCACUCCUCAAAAAAUUGGUUUGAUAGGAGGAAAUGAGCAUUUCUAUCUCUUGGUCAAGGAGGAACACAGGCGUAAUGCAGUAGGAAAGUGGCUGGUUUGCUUUUAUUUCUGUCCAUGCAGCCAGAUUGAGUCAAUGCUGUGCUCCUUAAGCGGUGUAGUGUUACACAAUGUAGCGUAGACUUUGGGUGCAGAAUACUGAAGAGAGACAAACAUAGGCAGGGAAGUUAAUUCUGGUGACAUGGAUCAAACUUACACACACAGAUUGAAUUUUACACAUAUGUGUAUUUGCAUUAAACUGAUCCCAUGAAACAUAACAAAACCUCAUAUUACAUGAUACCAUAUGUAUUAUGUCACUCCAAUAUUUAGCCGAAAGCAAGCAAAAUCUUCUGCACAUCUCCUGAAAUCUUAAGAGAAUAUUUUAUUGUUCUAAUCUAGCUACUAAUUUUGUCCUUUAAAAGCUGCUACAGUAUUGUAUUUAAGAUAAAGUUUCCAGCUGCUACCUUGUUUCAAUGGAAUCAGUAUGAGACAAUGACAAGCAUCUCUGGUUUUGUUGCCUCAGGACUGAGUUGACCACUGUCAUCACAAAGGUCAGUCUGGAUUUCUUCUGCUGCUUGCAGCAUUCUUUUUGCUGUUUAUACAGGUAUCAAAAAUGAAAGAAUAGGGACAAAGUACUAAUUGCUUUCUGCACAGGUGGUAAGGAAGUACAAGCAGCAUAAAGGUCUUUCCCAGAUACCCUGCUAGAUAAUUGGCCACCCACAAAUGCAGUCCUGCUUAAGGUCUUCCCUCCUACCUGUGUUGAAUUAAAGAAAUAGGACAGCAGGAUAUAUAUUUCUAGUUACAUUCAACACAGUAUCAUCUCUGCUGCCAGUGAAAGCUGGAAACACAUGGAAAAACAGCUUCUGCUCAGGCAUUAGGCUCAGGCUGCAGUGCAUGGGGUGAGUUGGAGGGAACGUAUCCGUCUAGGACCUAGUGCCACCCCACUUGAUGGGAACAGCUUCAGAACUUCAUCUGCAUUGAGACUGCCUGCCUCAUUGCACUCAGCACAGCACCAUCAAAUAAGGGGAGAAGCAGUCCUAUUCAUACAGGAGGGAAAGGAUUCAAAACCCAUCUGUGUAUUAACAGCUGUGCAAGUGGCUGACUGAAUGACCUGAGGUUUCUAUUUCUAGCUGCUCCUUAUUCCCCACUAAAUAAAGUCUGAGGCAUCUUUGUCACUUCAUUUAUUACAGUUAAUCACCAUAGUAACCAAUAAAGUUCAGACUGAGUUCCAUGGAACUGGUAAAACUUAAAUGAAACAAAGAAACAAGGAAAACAAAGAAAUCCUUUGGAUUCCAAAUGCUUUACAGUUUCUGUAUGUUUGUAAAAGCAAAAGAAUCCCUUAACACUGAAAAUAGUAGUUAAGGCCUCUAUUUUAAUUUUGACCCAAUCUGGAACAUACUGUGAUUAUUCUGGAGUUACCCACUUAUUUUUUGUUUUUAGUGAGUGUCCAGCAAUCCUAUUUAUGUACAACAAAUAGUGGUGUUAUGUGCAUUAAAAACCCAGGCAUAGUUUCUGUCACAGGCCUUUUACAGCCUGAAUUAUCAAGAGGAGCAGGCAUAGAAGUACAGUUGGAGAAACAAGUAGACCCAGCAACUGUCUGCCUCUUGAUAAAUUCCUUUUAUAGGCUAUAUAGAUUGCAACAAAGGGUUUUCAGGAGAAUCCUGAAGAGGGAAGAUUUGCACAAGUUCGUAGGGUGAUUUCUAAGAUGUGGGAACAAGUUUGUAAAUGUAACUCCUAGGUCUCAUAACCUGCUUGAUAUAACUUUUGAAAGGCAGAGUCAUCAAGUCAGUAAUUAAUGAGAGGUGGUCCUCAGGAUCACUGUAUCACAGAAUCACUGAGGUGGGAAGUGUUCUCUAGAGGUCAUCUUGUCUAAAACCCCUGCUCAAGCAGAGUCAGUGAGAGUGGUUUGCUCGGGAUGAUGUCCAGGUGGGUUUUGAACAUCUUCAGGAAUGCAGCCUCCACAACCUCUCUAGGCAACUUGUUCCAGACUCAAAAUAAGAAAGUUUUUCUAACUUUUGAACAAAUUUUCUUGUAUUUAAUUUUGGUUCCAUUGGCUCUUUUCUUAUAACGUGAUUGUGCUGAGAAGUUCCUGAGAGAAGGUGUGAUGGUCUGUGAAAUGCUACAAAGAUCAAAGAACCUGUCUCUAUUUCUAUGUUAGAGGAAAAAAAGAAUGGUGAGACAUAUCUCAGAUGAAUACAGGCCAUAGGAGAGCAAGCUGUAUGAAUAGAAAUGAGUGGAACAAGAAAUACCUGUCCAUGGCAGGAUUCUGAUGUGGGAUGUCAGAGCUACUGAGACGUGAGAACUCAAAGAAAGAUGUUCUAUGUGAAUAGAACAUUCUAUGUGAAUAGUCUAUGUGAAUAGACUGAAAGACUAUCUCUUAGGAAGCAGUCUGGACCACAUAGCAGAAAGGCACAUUAUCUUUCGAUCCAUCUGAUAGAAAUUGUGAAUGAACUUGCCUAUUCUUCUUCUAUGAAAUCUACUAUAUAAAUUGAAGGCCGCUGUUUGGAUCCAGCUACAUGACCUGACAUGGUGGAGCUGCAGGAUCUCUGACAUGCAGCGUUGUCUUCUAUUCACUGAUUGCUCAUUGUCCAAGUCAUUUUGGCCUGCUCUUUCCAGCUCACCAGUGAAUUGUUGAACUGCCUCCUGCAUCAAACACAGCCUGUGAGCAUACUGUAGGAAGCCAGGUGUCUUCAGGUUGCUUCCUUCUUAUCCUGGGAUAUGUGUCAGCUUCACACAGUAUACUUAACCAUCUUGAACACCUGGGAGUAUUAAAAUCUGAGAUUAAUUUAAGAUUAGAUUAGCAUGAAGACUACUCAUAUAUAUGUACAUGUAUAUGCAUGUCUGACUAUUUGUAAAUAUACGCAUACAUGUUGAUGAGUAUAACAAUGUAUUGCAUAUUAAAAUAACUUUUACAUAUUGAAAUAGAUUUUUUAGAUAUUCUUAUCUUGGUGUUCAUGAAACUCAUUAGGCUCUUUUGACAUGAUUUCUUUAUUAUCCUCACUCCCAAGUUGCUUUUAAAUGCAACCUGUUUUCUCUAUACAGCUAUUUGGCUGAUUUAUUAUAACUCAUCUUCUUUUCCCUGGAAGUUUCUGACCAAAGGCUAAAGCACUAAAAAAAGUGAAGUUGCUGAGCAGUUUGUCUGCUGAUUCAGAUGAAAUGGCACUGCCCUGUCUGAUGAGCUGCUCUGUUCAGUCUGAUCUGCUCAAUCUGAUCUCCUCUGGUAGGUUAUCAAGGUGGUCUUCAUGUAACCAGAAUCUGGUUACCCAGGGCUUCAGAUCUUCAUAAGCAUUACUUCCACCAGAAGUUUAAAUAUCAUCAGAGGAACUGUGAAAGCAAGCAAACAGAUAAACAUACCUCAAAUUCAGCAUAUGCCUGUCACAGCAGAAAAAAAUGUUUGGUCCACAAAACUCUAGUAUAGUAGAACAGAGUCCUGUAAAUAGCAAAAUGAUGGCUUGAAAUAUGAGUAUUUUUCUUGGUUAUCCCAGAGGGAGCUGGCAAUUACAGUAUCUGAGCAUACAAACCUCUCACAAGAACCUCAGCCAGUGCCUGAAGCCUGAUUGUUAGAAACGAUUUUACUCUGAAGUCAUACUCUUGUUGCUCACACACAGGACUUUAUUCAAAAGGAUGAUCUCGGUUCAGGGCUCCCUGCUAGAGCAGCAGUAAGUUCCUUGAGCAAAGGCUACUUUUACUGUCUGGAGUAGCAGGGGUAGAAUGCUGAAUGUGUGCAAGAGAGUAAGGAAAAAAGUCAGAUUUGGUAACAGAUUAUUAAAUUGUUCUCUGAACCUUCAUAGGGCCUUAGAGCAAUAGAAUAUCCUGAGUCAGAAGGGACUCACAAGGAUCAUUGGGUCCAGCUCCUGACCCUGCACAGGACAGCCCCAAAUAUCACGCAGGGAACAGUGUAGAUGCUUGCUACUGGUCCAGUAGUGAUCCUUGUUUCUCAGGGAGUAUGGCUGGCUUCUUGAGUAUCCCUCCUGUUUCCACAGGAAUGUAGACAAACAGUAAAUUUCAAUUUUGGCCUUGGUUUUGUGACUGAAAUGGAAAUAGAAGACACACAAAUAAUCAUCAUACUUACCAACAGUGUAAAUGUGAAUGGAAAGGGGAGCACGGUUUUAUGGUGCAGGACCCACUUCCUUUUGCUGGGAGAUUAAACAGAACAUUUCCUGGUUCAUUCCUGGCCAAAGUGAGCACAGCAGGAGCACUGGUCUUACAUCUUCUCUGAAUGACUUCAGCUGAGAGCCAGAUUUGUUUGUCAUGGUGUCUGUAUUAUUGUGCUCAUUCACAGCACUGAAAGGACCAGUGCUUUUGGGGCUUUUUGUGUGAAUAUUGGAAUUAUUUGUUUCUUUCUGUACCUAGAAAAUGUUAUGUAAUAUCACAUCAGCCUAUGUAACAUGGUGCAACAUUGUGUAAGGCUAUUACAUAUGCCCCUUGGCAUGACAGAAAAUGAAAAUGGGAUUCAAAUUGUUCCCUUCAUAUUUGAAAUAUCCCAAGGCGUAUUUUUGAACUAAAAUUCUAAAUUACAUGAAGGAAGGCUGAGUGGGUAUUAGGUAACCAGCAACAUCCUGGACAAAACAGCAGAGAGAAAGGCUUCUGCUUUCUUUACAAAAGGAGAGUUUGCAGGCCAAGGCAGAUCUGUUGUGUCUGAAAGUUCCUCAUGGACCUGACAGUACAAUUUCUUUGAAGUUCAUCACGCUAUUUUGCACUAUUACAAUAGGAGUCAAAGUUAUGGUCAGAUCUGUGUAUUUUUAGAUAUAUACGAUUCAGUACACAACAAUUAUUUGGAUUCUGAUGAAAUAUUAAUGCCUUGUGUAUGUAUUAGUUUCAUAAUUUGAUAUUAUAUAUUUGAGAGCUAUGAGUCAUUUUAGAUGAAGUUUAUUUAUAACAUCUUAGUCAUAGGGCAUAGUGCAAUUAUGCCAAGGAAAUGAGGUAAAUAGGAAGAUUAAGUACUAACCAGCUUAAUAAAGUCAAAUUCAGAUUUUGAAAGUACAAUUCCUAUCACCUCUGUCUUCCAAAAUAUUUCAGAGUAAAAUUUCUGCAGUGAGAACUGAGAUCCAUGAGCUAUAAAAUGUAACAAAUCUUUCCUCCUGUAUUUCUUCUGUACACUUUCUCUGCUGUUUUGGAUGAAUGUUUAAGUCUUUUCCUGGGGUCUAGGAAGCUGGCUCUGAGUGGCCCUCCCUGUGUGAUGGUUGGACAAGAUGACCUCCAGAAUUCCCUUCCAACCCCAGGCAUUCUGUAAUUCCAGGAAUAAUCUAGAUGUGUUUAUUGUUCUUGCCAAUGAUUUCCAAAAAACUUCUACCCCAUUACUAUCUCAGAAAUGUUGCUGCAGCUGUCAGCUUUGACUAAAGCUGGUGAGCAGCUUCAGAAGCAUUUGUAAGGACUCUCACAGUCUGCUAAUGGCACUGGAAUAUUUUUCUCAAUUCCUAGAAAGUCCAGUCCCAAGAAUGUAUGGCAUAAAAACAAUAAAACUGUUACAAAGAAAUCCAUCUAGUCCUUCAUCUUUUCUGCAACCCUGGACAUAAGUAAGUACUUUGGGAACAGCAAUAACAAUAUAAAUUUCUUUGAUACAGCUUCCAGAAUAAAUUUUUUUCUAUGUACACACCCAGUUUCCUGGAGAGCUCAGAUGAUCUGUAGUCUGAUGUCUUUGGGCAGUGACUUUCAUAAUUGUAGCACCUGCUGCACAAAGAACCAGCUCUCAUUUUACCUUGCUUUACCUUGCUCCCACCAUCUUCAUUUGAUGGGCCCUUGAUUUUUACUGAGUGGCUGAAAUCCUGAUGUCCCUUCACUCUCUCCAAGGCAUGUGUAACAUUGUCAUGUUGUCACUGUCAUUUGUUGUCAUGAGUUGUCUCUUCCCCAAGCUGAGGGGUCCCAACCUACCCAAACAUCCUUGUGCCAAAACAAUUACCUACCUUAGAAAGUACUUGUUGUCCACUUUUAAUUUUUUUGAUUAUUAAGAAGAAAAGUGACACAAAAAGUGACCAAAAAAAAGAGGGAAAUGGGAAUCAAUCUCAUCCUUACAUGGGCCUGGGCAUGUGUUCCUCGGUGACAGAAUUAAUUACAAGUUUUAGUGCAGUAUGUCUGUUUUUCAGACAUUCCUUGCACUAUUUGAAAAUACAGCUGCAAAUGUUUUCUGUGGCACAGAAACAAUUUAAAGACCAACUUUUAAAUAAAUGGGCCACUGAGUUUGUGAAUGCCUUCCAAAGCUUCUGAGGCAUGGCAGUGUCUGGGAUUUUACACUGUAAAUCAAACCAACUUUUCAAAAUGACACAAAUUAAAACAUUGGCCAAGCUGUAUGAACAUGGGUGGGAGGAAUAAAAAUAAGAUUCUAUCAAAAGCUGUCUCAAUGGAUACAAACUCACAGGGGGGACAGGUUAUUUCCUCCUUUAACUCAUUGGAUUAAAUACAUUGGAUAAAAUAAAGCAUAUGUAAGCAAGAAUAACUUGAAUUUUUGGUUUCAGUUUAUCCUGGAGUACUACAACAAGUGAUUCAAAGGAUAUGCUCUUCCAUAAACUGCAUCUGUAGUGAUAUGAUCAGGAUCUGGCUGUGAGCAUGCUUUUGCCGGUGGAAGCAAAAAGUUUUGUCUUGGAAGCUGACAUAAGGGAACGGAUCAACGUGUUCUGAUGUUCAGUGUAGCACUGGUUAACAUGAAGAACGGCACUAAACGCCAUCAUUAGACACAAUUCAGAUAGCUGAAUGCCCAGUUUUGUUCAAUAAAAGUGAUGUAUUGAUAAA